UACAGAGGUCUCAAGCGUUUGUUCGGAUUCAUUGGGCGUAAAGGGUGCGUAGGCGGCGCGGUAAGUCGGGUGUGAAAUCUUGGAGCUUAACUCCGAAACUGCAUUCGAUACUGCCGUGCUUGAGGACUGGAGAGGAGACUGGAAUUUACGGUGUAGCGGUGAAAUGCGUAGAUAUCGUAAGGAAGACCAGUGGCGAAGGCGGGUCCUCU
rnacentral:rRNA from 1 species